CGGGCGUGGCGAAAUUGGUUUACGCGCGGGCUUUAGGUGCCCGUGUUCGAAAGAACAUGUGGGUUCGAGUCCCACCGCCCGCACUCCA
rnacentral:tRNA from 1 species